GAAAGUUGGGGGCUCGAAGACUAUCACAUACCGUCCUAGUCUCAACCAUAAACGAUGCCGACCAGGGAUCAGCGGAUGUUGCUUUUAGGACUCCGCUGGCAACUUAUGAGAAAUCAAAGUUUUUGGGU
rnacentral:rRNA from 1 species